AGUUUGCAGGUUCGUGUCUCCAAUGACACCAUAUCCAUCUUUAUUUUUGUAGCAUCCCCUUGCUUAUCUGUGUUUAUCCUACUCUUCCUGUCCUGAGGAAUAAUUUUAAAAUUUUAUCUAUUAUUCAGAUAUCAAGUGGAAGAAUCUGCAACAACACUAUUGGUAAAGAAUUUCAAGCUGAGGUAGUGAGACUCCCAGAGGCAGAAACAAGAAGCAGAAGUAGGGAAAGAGAUUCUAUUCUAAAGAAAAGUGUGUGUGAUUCUCAGCAACUUGGAACAAAGUCUUGUCCUCCUUCCCCACUAGAGUCUACAA
rnacentral:lncRNA from 1 species